UCCCUGGUGGCUUAGAUGGUAAAGCGUCUGCCUACAAUACAGGAGACCCGGGUUUGAUCCCUGGGUUGGGAA
rnacentral:tRNA from 1 species